AGUGGCGGACGGGUGAGUAACACGUAAGAAUUUGCCUUUAGGAGGGGGAUAACAGAGGGAAACAGCUGCUAAUACCCCAUAUGCUUUCGAGUGAAAUGGAUUUUUCCGCCUAAAGAGAAGCUUGCGGCUGAUUAGCUUGUUGGUGAGGUAAUGGCUCACCAAGGCGACGAUCAGUAUCUGGUUUGAGAGGACGAUCAGACACACUGGAACUGAGACACGGUCCAGACUCCUACGGGAGGCAGCAGUGGGGAAUUUUCCGCAAUGGGCGAAAGCCUGACGGAGCAAUCUCGCGUGAGGGAUGACUGCCUAUGGGUUGUAAACCUCUUUUUUCAGGGAGGAAUUAAUGACGUGUACCUGAAGAAUAAGCAUCGGCUACCUCCGUGCCAGCAGCCGCGGUAAGACGGAGGAUGCAAGUGUUAUCCGGAAUCACUGGGCGUAAAGCGUCUGUAGGUGGUUUAAUAAGUCAACUGUUAAAUCUUGAAGCUCAACUUCAAAAUCGCAGUCGAAACUAUUAGACUAGAGUAUAGUAGGGGUAAAGGGAAUUUCCAGUGGAGCGGUGAAAUGCGUAGAGAUUGGAAAGAACACCGAUGGCGAAGGCACUUUACUGGGCUAUUACUGACACUCAGAGACGAAAGCUAGGGUAGCAAAUGGGAUUAGAUACCCCAGUAGUCCUAGCCGUAAACAAUGGAUACUAGAUGUU
rnacentral:rRNA from 1 species